AGCAAAUGGAAGAGCAGGAGCAGACUGUCCCCAGCCUCUCUCCCGUGCCCCCACCCAGCGACAGCUAAAACAUUUCACUCGUCAGUCAGCGAUAAGUGCGACUGGAUUGUCUGAAACACUCAACCCGAAAGAAAAGACCACAAGGCUCAGCGGACAAUCAGUACCUGAUCAUGUUCUAUGGCACUUGUUGACUCAUUUGAAUGCUUUUUCUUGACCUCUAUCAUGGGCAUGGUGGUAACAAUUUCAAACACCUUACAAAGGGUUGACAGGUCUCCCAAAGGUCCUAUAACUUGUGGUAUAGUCUGCUGACAAAUUGGGAUUCCAUAGGCAGUCAACUCAUGAAAAGCUUAUUUUUAAGGGUAAAAUGAUAAAAUUGCUGUUUCCAAGGCCUGCACCACUAGUCCCGAACUGACUUCAUAUUCUGGAGAGACUUGCACCCCCAUUCUCUCCAGAAUGUCAGCUUUAAUUUAAAGCCCCAUCAGAGAUCUUUGAAGGCCUAAAUCUUUCCCUUCCAGCUGGUCAGAGAUAUUGGCAUAUUAAUCUAUUUAGUAAUUAUGCGAACAAGCUCUGACCAUGUGUUAUUGAAAAUUAAACUAUCAAAAUGUGUCCAAUCAAAUUGCUCAAUUUCUCAAUCCUAUCAUGUCAUUAGAUUCAACACCAAGAUUAAUUACGAAGCAAUGGGCCAGGUUCGCCAGAUGUUGUGCUGACUCCAGUCAAGCUGGAAUUCUUGAGGGGCCAGGGAGCAAUUUGCAAAGGUGGAAAGAACAUGAAGCCAGACAAGACUGGCCACGUAAACCUGUAAGCCUUGUUUGGGACAGGAACCAAGGCUGAGGUGAAACCCCCUGCCUUCAGAAGACGAUCACAGCGGAUGAAUGAAUUAGUCUUGGAAAUGUUUUCAGCAGGUGAUCUGCUUGACUCAUUAGGAGAACUAUCUGGUUCAUUAGCCGAUAUACCUGGUUC
rnacentral:lncRNA from 1 species